GGCCCGUUAGCUCAGUCAGAGUGUGGUGCUGAUAACACCAAGGUCACGGGUUCGAUCCCCGCUUGGUCCC
rnacentral:tRNA from 1 species